rnacentral:rRNA from 1 species
GAAAGGAUAAGCGCUGAAAGCAUCUAAGCGCGAAACCUGUUUCGAGAUGAGAUCUCCCACUGGAUAACCAGGUAAGGCCCGUGGCAGAACACCACGUUGAUAGGCCGGAUGUGUAAGCGCGGCGACGCGUUCAGCAGACCGGUACUAAUCGGCCGAGGGCUUGGGCUC